rnacentral:lncRNA from 14 species
GGGAGCUGCAGCACAAACUGGACGCACUGGUGCGGUCCCAGCGGGAGGCUCUGGAGCUGCUCACGGAGAUGGAGGCGGAGGGAGCCCCGGCUGAGCCCCCGGUCCUGGCCGAGCUGCGGGAGGCGGUGGCGGAGCUGGUGCGGGACACGGAGCCCUCCGUGCCCCCGGCUCUGCAGCGCUUGGUCCGCAUCGUGUCCGCUCUACGGGACCGGAGCAUCCCUCCGGGGGCAGCGGAGGCCGAGGCCGAGCGCUGGAGGGAGGCGGCGGCCGAAGGAGGAGAGGGCCAAGGAGGAGGCGCUGGCUCUGGCGGAGGAACGGGAACGGGAGCUGCGGGAGCUGCGGGAGAGGGCGGACGGGAUGGAGCGGAGCCUCGGCAGCCUCCGGGACAGGGCAGCGGAGCUCGCCAGGGCCUGCCGGGACAAGGACGGGAAGAUGAAGAAGCUGCUCAUGGAGACGGAGAAGCUCUCGGCCGAGGUGCUGGGGCUCCGCAGCCAGAGCGCCCGGCUCCAGCUCCAACUAGAGGUCCAGCAGAAGAACCACAGGGACAUCGUGGCCAUCUAUAGGACCCAUCUGCUCAACGCUGCCCAGGUGGGAUCCCGUAUCCCUGGCCCCAGG